GUUAAGGACGGAGGUCACGAAAUGGGAGACGGAGACGGAGAAAUUAGUGGCUAAGCAUUUCGCAGAGAUAGCGGAGUGGGAAACGGAAAAGGAUAGAAUAGAGGCUAAGCAUAUGGCAGAGAUAGGGAAGUGGAAGGCGAAGAAAGCGAAAGUAGAGGCUAAGCAUUUGACAGAGGUAAGGCAAUGGAAGACGAAGAAGGCGAAAAUAGAGGCUCAGCUGUCCAAGAUAACGUCGAAGAUUGCCAAUCAGGAUAAGAUUAUGGCUCAGCUAUCGAAGACAAAGUCGAAGAUUGCCAAAAAAAAAGAGAUUAUGUGUUGGAGCUCGCAAAGUUACUGGAGCUGACCAUAAUAGUGGCUAAUAUAGUGAGGUAGCGGCAAAGUGGAAGGCGGAGACGACAGAACUAUUUGCUAAUAUGGAGAAGACAGAGUGGUCUACAGAGUAUCGGCCGGGGUUCAUGAAGUGGGAGCCGGAGAUGGCAAAACUAUGGGUUAGUAUGGCGAAGAUGGCGACAAAAGCUGAAACACUUGUGACUAAUAUGGUGAAGAAGGUGUAGAUGGAUAUGCGCUGUAGCGUAGUUAUAGAUCUGAUAAAUAUAAAAAAAAAAAACGUUUUUUAA